CCUACCCCCUGCUCCGCCACCUCCUCCUCCGGCGCGCAGCCCACGGCUCUGGCAUUCCCAACGCACUUUCUCUCCUCGAUUCGCUCUCUCUUUCCCCCGCCGUUCCUCCUUCUCCGGUAAAAAAAUAAACGAGAGGGGACCGCGGCUACGCUUGGUCUUGGGGUUUCUUUCUUUUUCUUUCUGGUUUUUUUUUGGGUUUUUUUGGUUGUUAGCUUUUUUUUUUUCUGUCUCUUUCUGUCCUCUGGAAAUGAUGAAAGGAUCACAUGAGGAGCAGGCACGGCGACCCAAGACCCUCGUAAGUCGGAGAAGGUAUCGGACUCAUGUAUGUGAGUAUAUGUGUGAGCGUGUGCGUCUGGCUCUCUCCAAGUCCUGCGCCUGCCUCCAGCCGGGAUUGCAGGCUGAUCUUAGCAGUAAUGAUGCCUCACAUCUCACUAUUCCCUGCUAAUCCUCUGCAUACUUUUUAGAGCUCUUAUUUGAGCAUGACUUAUAUCUGCUUCAUGAAGCUAAUGGACAACCAGUGCACCUUCUGGCGAAAAAAACCCCUCUCUUUCUCAUUUUUAGUCCACCUGUCCCUCUGUUUUCCACGUCCCCUAUACUAGCAACCUGUAGUCAGCACAGAAGACAGAGCUGGCCAUUGUCGAUCACAGGUAUUUCUGCCCUCUGUGCCCCUAAUCACGGAGGAAAGUGGGAAUGCUAAAAACUUCUGCAAGGCUGCAGGCAGUUGCUCUGCUCCAUAGUCUCAGAGGGAUUAGGAGGAAUUAUUCCUGUCCCUGGACCCUGAACCAGCCCAUACUUUACAUCAGUGAAUGAUACUCAGGACACGUUUUGGUCAAAUUAAGAUUGUGUCAAUCCAGAAAGUGACUUAAUCAGGCGUUACCUGCUCCUGCGGAAGUGAGUUCCUUCUCGGUAGGUCACCCAAAGCCCACCGCGUCCGGCAGGUUGAAAGGGGAGAAAGUGGCAGGACAGCUGGGCUCCAGCAUGGUACUGUUUUAAGGAUCACCACCGAGGUCUCUGUUUUCCAUAGCUGCCAAUGGUCACCAACAACCAAGGUUCCUCUCAAGGAAAGGAAGAAAGAAAUUAUCUUCCCAAUCUGCUCUCCAGGCGGUCAUUUGACCCUGACACCCACCGAUGACACUGAAGAACACCCCGCUGAAGCGGCUAAACGCCUCGCAAUUUCCUGUGCUCGCUUCCCCCGGGCGGCCCGGCGCACCGCCGCCGAGCGAUCUUAUCGCCGUGCGAUCAUUAUUCACCGGUGACAGCCAGAGAUGCAGCGCUCCUAAGUGAGGGUGACAGAUUUCAAACGAGGGGCUGCAGCGUAUCCAGCCUCAGACACAGUCUUCCUCAAACUUUGCCUAGCAAGCAAGUCAGCGGCUUAACCCUUUGGAGCUCUUUCUCUCGCCCGGGGACAGAGACCCCAGCGCCGGGGAAUGCUGGUUAGGGGGGAAUGCAGGACAACACGGCUACUUGGCUGAGGAUUCUUUAUUACGUGCCAUUUUCUAUUCUUGGUUGUUUUCACUUGAAACAGAUGAGAACCGCCAACUCUGGGAGCAGAUGGAAGGCUUUUCUGUGAUUAGGGGCUGGAAAAAUCCUCUUGGCAAAGCAGAUCGCUGGGACUCACCUGUGGUCCCUCUCUGUCACUGCAAACUCAUCUGCAUGGCACGAAUUCCUCUCAUAUGCACAUAUACAGAGCUUCUGCGCUUUCCUCAGCGUGGUGCCGUUAAAAGUACAAUUCCAAAAGUGCCAUUUCACUCAGAUCUCCAGAUCCAGCUCUUUUACAAGUUAUUAACUACAACAUAGAAAGGAGCAAGUGAGAGGAAGAAACGCAUUUUCAGGAAAGAAAGAAAGGAAAAAAAGCCUUUUUUACACAUGCACAUUUUACUCAAAGGAGAUAUUUACCACCACCAAACUCCAGCAUGUCAGAACAUGUUUCCUCCUAAGUACAAGAAACCUUAAAACUGAGAGAAAAGCACGUGCAAUUCAAAGAUGAAAUGAAGUGCUUGAAAGCUUUCCAAAGUGUGUACCACCAGCCCAUAGCCCGGUGUCAAGACAACACUCAAGACAACAGGGAAGCGAGAUUAACAAACUUGAAUGGUUGCCUAGUAUUCAUUUCUAUAUAUUUUCAGUGCAUUAUGAUGAUUUUGUCAGUCUUCUCUGCCCCCACCACAUUCCCCCGCCUCCCCCCCCCCCC